rfam:Hordeum vulgare subsp. vulgare, WGS project CAJW01000000 data, contig: morex_contig_2530602
UCAUUACUCCCUCCGUCCAGAAAUACUUGUCCUAAAAAUGAAUACAAUGAAUGUAUCUAUAAUUAAAAUAAGUCUAGAUACAUUCAUCUGUAGGACAAGUAUUUCCGGACGGAGGGAGUACUUC